rnacentral:rRNA from 1 species
AUUGAACGCUGGCGGCAGGCCUAACACAUGCAAGUCGAACGAGUGGCGGACGGGUGAGUAAUGUCUGGGAAACUGCCUGAUGGAGGGGGAUAACUACUGGAAACGGUAGCUAAUACCGCAUACCAUCGGAUGUGCCCAGAUGGGGUUAGCUGGUAGGUGGGGUAACGGCUCACCUGGGCGACGUUCCCUAGCUGGUCUGAGAGGAUGACCGGCGACACUGGAACUGAGACACGGUCCAGACGCCUACGGGAGGCAGCAGUGGGGAAUGUGGGGCAAUGGGCGGAAGCCUGGUGCAGCCAUGCCGCGUGUAUGAAAGAGGCCUUCGGGUUGUAAAGUACUUUCAGCGGGGAGGCGUUACCCGCAGAAGAAGCACCGGCUAACUCCGUGCCAGCAGCCGCGGUAAUAC